GACGAACGCUGGCGGCGUGCUUAACACAUGCAGGUCGAACGGAAAGGCCCUGCUUUUGUGGGGUGCUCGAGUGGCGAACGGGUGAGUAACACGUGAGUAACCUGCCCUUGACUUUGGGAUAACUUCAGGAAACUGGGGCUAAUACCGGAUAGGAGCUCUUGCUGCAUGGUGGGGGUUGGAAAGUUUCGGCGGUUGGGGAUGGACUCGCGGCUUAUCCGCUGGUUUGUGGGGUAGUGGCUUACCAAGGCUUUGACGGGUAGCCGGCCUGGGAGGGUGACCGGCCACAUUGGGACUGAGAUACGGCCCAGACUGCUACGGGAGGCAGCAGUGGGGAAUAUUGCACAAUGGGCGGAAGCCUGAUGCAGCAACGCCGCGUGCGGGAUGACGGCCUUCGGGUUGUAAACCGCUUUCGCCUGUGACGAAGCGUGAGUGACGGUAAUGGGUAAAGAAGCACCGGCUAACUACGUG
rnacentral:rRNA from 1 species